GAACACAAAAUGGCGACACGUGGUUAGCAUUCGUCGCCAACGAGAAAUUGGGGUCGGCCCGAAAGCUCUAGAAUGCACCCCUCUUCCUCCCCGGGGCCUUCCACCUCCGCGAGUUUUAUGACUUAAAAAAGCCCACAGGCUGGUCUGAAGGUCGGAGGCCUAAUUUUAACGCGUUUUCCUCCCUUUAAUUUGAAACGGGAACGCGAAUGACUGUAAAAUGUGGGCACAAUAUUUAAUCUCUCGCCUUUUUAAAGCUUAAUAGUGGAUAAUAGGGGGGCAGUAUCAAGGGAUAAUUUGGGUCCCCACAGUACCAAAGCAUUUAGAAACCUCUGUUUAAUUUAAGGAAUGAGAUAAGUUACUGCUUUUCUAGACUUCCUAGCAUGGGCUGUUGUGCUGGAGAGAACGAGAGCUACGAAGAGACUACAGUGCCUCUGACUUUUUCAUAGGACAGUUGGCCGAGGAAGACAAACAUAAAGAUGAAGUGCUUAAUUCAAGGUCACACAAUGUCGGGGAUGGACCUCCAGAUUUCCUUACUGGUGAGACGUGGUCUUGUAACACAGUGGUUAAGAAUGUGACUUUGGAGCCAGCCUGCUAGGGGCUGAAUUCUGACUCAGCCAUUUACUAACUGUGUGACCUUAGGUGGAGUCUCACUCUGUAGCCCAAGCUGGAGUGGCGUGAUCUCGACUCACUGCAACCUCCGCCUCCUGGGAUCAAGUGAUUCUCGUGCCUCAGCCUCCUGAGUAGCCGGGACUACA
rnacentral:lncRNA from 1 species